UCGGGUGGGUUGCCGAUGCACGUCGCUGACCCGAAGUGGCGGGCGGCAUAGAAAAGCGGCGCCGAGCAACGACGCCGACGUGACCCGACGAAAGGAACCCGGUUAAGGGAACCGAACGGCAAGGGAAGCCGGCGAGGUGCAAAUCGACGCGGCCGCGCCGGUUCCGAGCUCCCGCAAACUCUUUCUCGCGCGCGCCCGAGACGGUGGGGCGAAGGUAAGUUUCGCGCGAGACGUCCGACGGGAUAGAACCGGCUCGCCACGUGUGUGGAUCACGCAUUGUUCCUCCGUCCCCGGCAGAAAGGGGCAUGACUUGCGCGGGCCCGACAGAAGACGACCGCACCUGAGGAACGCUCCACAGUUCACUUCAUACGAAAC
rnacentral:rRNA from 1 species